rnacentral:tRNA from 1 species
GGGUGGAGCUCAGUGGUAGAGCACACGCUUAGCAUGCCUGAGGUCUUGGGUUCAAUCCCUAGUACAUCCA